rnacentral:rRNA from 1 species
UUGCACGCUGGCGGCAGGCCUAACACAUGCAAGUCGAGCGGAUGAAGGGAGCUUGCUCCUGGAUUCAGCGGCGGACGGGUGAGUAAUGCCUAGGAAUCUGCCUGGUAGUGGGGGAUAACGUCCGGAAACGGGCGCUAAUACCGCAUACGUCCUGAGGGAGAAAGUGGGGGAUCUUCGGACCUCACGCUCUCAGAUGAGCCUAGGUCGGAUUAGCUAGUUGGUGGGGUAAAGGCCUACCAAGGCGACGAUCCGUAACUGGUCUGAGAGGAUGAUCAGUCACACUGGAACUGAGACACGGUCCAGACUCCUACGGGAGGCAGCAGUGGGGAAUAUUGGACAAUGGGCGAAAGCCUGAUCCAGCCAUGCCGCGUGUGUGAAGAAGGUCUUCGGAUUGUAAAGCACUUUAAGUUGGGAGGAAGGGCAGUAAGUUAAUACCUUGCUGUUUUGACGUUACCAACAGAAUAAGCACCGGCUAACUUCGUG